rnacentral:rRNA from 1 species
UUUGAUGGCGACCGGCGCACGGGUGAGUAACACGUAUGCAACCUGCCCGUGGCAGGGGGAUAAGCGGGGGAAACCCCGUCUAAUACCGCGUAACGCGGCCUAGGGACAUCCCAAGGCCGCCAAAGGGAGCAAUCCCGGCCACGGAUGGGCAUGCGGCGCAUUAGCUAGUCGGCGGGGUAACGGCCCACCGAGGCGACGAUGCGUAGGGGUUCUGAGAGGAAGGCCCCCCACACUGGUACUGAGACACGGACCAGACUCCUACGGAAGGCAGCAG